ACAUCGUGGCGCUCGCGGCGAGAUGUUGAAAUGUUUAUUCAGAAAUAAGAUGGAGAUUAGAUUUGAAUUUAAUCAAUCGGAACAAAGAAAACUGAUGUCAAGUUUAUUAAAUAAAUAUUACGAUUGGUUAAAUUUUAAAUUCUAAUUUGUCGAUACUGAUUUAUUUGUAGUAGUGCAUAAAAAAACAAAUGUCCGCGAGAUAAAAAUUGCAGAUAAACAUCUGCGAUGAUUAGGCGAAAAGUUAAUCGAUUUCUAUACACGUGCGUUCUGAUUAUUUGCAAUCUCGUGUACUCGGUUAUUUGUUUAACAGCUUGCUCUAUAGCAAGAUUAUUAUAUAAUCGAAACGAGAAUCAUAGAUCUGUCGAGAUUGUGUAUCGCAGUGAAAACUUUUUGAUGGUCAAUAAACCCUAUGACAUGUACAUAAAUAGCAACAAUCCCGACAGAAAAAAUACUCUUCAAUUGGAAUUGCGAAAAAUGUUGCCCGGUUUGGUUAAUCCGAAAUUGUGUCAUGAAUUUUAUUUCGUUCAUCGGCUGGAUUAUCCGACAAGUGGCAUCAUUUGCAUAGCGUUAAAUAAAAAAGCGGCCCAAGCGGCAUCCUCUGCUUUCGAAAAUCAAAAUGUACAAAAAUUCUACUUGGCAUUAGUACACGGUCACAUAUACAAACCUCAUAUUGUAAUAGACAAACCUAUUGGUGAUGAUAUUCGAGAGAAAAGUGGCAAUCACAAAAUGUGCACAAGUGACAGUGUGUUUUGCGAAAAACCACGAAGGUCUUUUACAGUGUUGAUAGUGCUGGAACAUGGAUUUUGGCGAAGUAAGCCUGCCACCAAGGUAUUGCUGGCACCUGGUACAGGUAGACGUCAUCAAUUGAGAGUUCAUUGCCAUCAUAUUGGCCAUACAGUUGUAGGAGAUUACACAUAUAGUGAAGGCAAAGAUAUAGAACCUCACAGAACUUAUCUGCAUUCACUCAGAUUCUUCUACUUCAAAUUGAAAAGUAGCUCUUGAUUACACAUAAAUCAUCAUUUUUACAAAGUUUGUGCAAUUGUCUUCCAACAUUUCUCUUGGAUAUGCCUUGUGACUGAUCUUUCCAAUCUUCUAUUCUUAGUAGCUACAUGGUUUACAAAUAUCACAUCUCCAUUCACUGGAUGAGAUUUAGCUAUCUCUGAGCUCUGCAGCAAUUGUUGCAAUCGUUUUGAAGGAAAAGCGGUUUCCGUGCAAAUAUAUAUGGCACCUAAUUAACAUCAGCAAGACUCCGAAACCACCUGUGGUUACUGGCAAUUGAACAGUAAGACACAAUUGUAGAGCCAACUGUGUCUUUCCAGUGCCAGCAGCACCAUAAAUU